GACGAACGCUGGCGGCGUGCCUAAUACAUGCAAGUCGAACGCUUCUUUCCUCCCGAGUGCUUGCACUCAAUUGGAAAGAGGAGUGGCGGACGGGUGAGUAACACGUGGGUAACCUACCCAUCAGAGGGGGAUAACACUUGGAAACAGGUGCUAAUACCGCAUAACAGUUUAUGCCGCAUGGCAUAAGAGUGAAAGGCGCUUUCGGGUGUCGCUGAUGGAUGGACCCGCGGUGCAUUAGCUAGUUGGUGAGGUAACGGCUCACCAAGGCCACGAUGCAUAGCCGACCUGAGAGGGUGAUCGGCCACACUGGGACUGAGACACGGCCCAGACUCCUACGGGAGGCAGCAGUAGGGAAUCUUCGGCAAUGGACGAAAGUCUGACCGAGCAACGCCGCGUGAGUGAAGAAGGUUUUCGGAUCGUAAAACUCUGUUGUUAGAGAAGAACAAGGACGUUAGUAACUGAACGUCCCCUGACGGUAUCUAACCAGAAAGCCACGGCUAACUACGUGCCAGCAGCCGCGGUAAUACGUAGGUGGCAAGCGUUGUCCGGAUUUAUUGGGCGUAAAGCGAGCGCAGGCGGUUUCUUAAGUCUGAUGUGAAAGCCCCCGGCUCAACCGGGGAGGGUCAUUGGAAACUGGGAGACUUGAGUGCAGAAGAGGAGAGUGGAAUUCCAUGUGUAGCGGUGAAAUGCGUAAUAUAUGGAGGAACACCAGUGGCGAAAGCGGCUCUCUGGUUGUAAUGAGCUGAGGCUCGAAGCGUGGGAGCAAACAGGAUUAAUACCCUAGUAUCCAAGGGCGAAUUCCCAC
rnacentral:rRNA from 1 species